UACGUAGGCAGCGAGCGUUGUUCGGAGUUACUGGGCGUAAAGGGUGUGUAGGCGGUUUGUUUAAGUUUGGUGUGAAAUCUCCCGGCUCAACUGGGAGGGUGCGCCGAAUACUGAAUGACUUGGAGUGCGGGAGAGGAAAGUGGAAUUCCUGGUGUAGCGGUGAAAUGCGUAGAUAUCAGGAGGAACACCGGUGGUGUAGACGGCUUUCUGGACCGUAACUGACGCUGAGACACGAAAGCGUGGGUAGCAAACAGG
rnacentral:rRNA from 1 species